UACGUAGGGGGCUAGCGUUGUCCGGAAUCAUUGGGCGUAAAGCGCGUGUAGGCGGCUUGGUAAGUCCGUUCUGAAAGCCCGGGGCUCAACCCCGGGAGGCGGAUGGAUACUGUCAAGCUUGAGUCCGGAAGAGGCGAGUGGAAUUCCCGGUGUAGCGGUGAAAUGCGCAGAUAUCGGGAGGAACACCAAUGGCGAAGGCAGCUCGCUGGGACGUGACUGACGCUGAGACGCGAAAGCGUGGGGAGCAAACAGG
rnacentral:rRNA from 1 species